GACGAACGCUGGCGGCGUGCUUAACACAUGCAAGUCGAACGGAAAGGCCUGCUUUCCCUUGUGGAUUGCGGGUGCUCGAGUGGCGAACGGGAGAGUAACACGUGAGUGAUCUGCCCCCAACUUGGGUAUAAGCCUGGGAAACUGGGUCUAAUUCCCGAUAGGACUGCAGGGUGGUGCCUGUGGUGGAAAACGAUUUUCUAGUGGUUGGGGAUGAGCUCGCGGCCUAUCAGCUUGUUGGUGGGGUAAUGGCCUACCAAGGCGGCGACGGGUAGCCGGCCUGAGAGGGUGGACGGCCACAUUGGGACUGAGAUACGGCCCAGACUCCUACGGGAGGCAGCAGUGGGGAAUAUUGCACAAUGGGCGGAAGCCUGAUGCAGCGACGCCGCGUGGGGGAUGACGGCCUUCGGGUUGUAAACUCCUUUCGACCGCGAGGAAGCCACCUGGUUGGAAGGGUGGUGACGGUAGUGGUAGAAGAAGCACCGGCUAACUACGUG
rnacentral:rRNA from 1 species